AGUGAACGCUGGCGGUAGGCCUAACACAUGCAAGUCGAACGGCAGCACAGUAAGAGCUUGCUCUUACGGGUGGCGAGUGGCGGACGGGUGAGGAAUACAUCGGAAUCUACUUUUUCGUGGGGGAUAACGUAGGGAAACUUACGCUAAUACCGCAUACGACCUACGGGUGAAAGCAGGGGAUCUUCGGACCUUGCGCGAUUGAAUGAGCCGAUGUCGGAUUAGCUAGUUGGCGGGGUAAAGGCCCACCAAGGCGACGAUCCGUAGCUGGUCUGAGAGGAUGAUCAGCCACACUGGAACUGAGACACGGUCCAGACUCCUACGGGAGGCAGCAGUGGGGAAUAUUGGACAAUGGGCGCGAGCCUGGUCCAGCCAUACCGCGUGGGUGAAGAAGGCGUUGGGGUUGUAAAGCCCUUUUGUUGGGAGAGAAAAGCAGCAGGUUAAUACCACGCUGUUCUGACGGUACCCAAAGAAUAAGCACCGGCUAACUUCGUG
rnacentral:rRNA from 1 species